GGAUUCCCUUAGUAACUGCGAGUGAAGAGGGAAAAGCUCAAAUUUAAAAUCUGGCAGGUUUGCUGUCCGAGUUGUAAUUUAGAGAAGUGUUACCCGCGUUGGACCGUGUACAAGUCUCCUGGAAUGGAGCAUCAUAGAGGGUGAGAAUCCCGUCUUUGACAUGGACUACCAAGGCAUUGUGGUAUGCUCUCAAAGAGUCGAGUUGUUUGGGAAUGCAGCUCUAAAUGGGUGGUAAAUUCCAUCUAAAGCUAAAUAUUGGCGAGAGACCGAUAGCAAACAAGUACCGUGAGGGAAAGAUGAAAAGAACUUUGGAAAGAGAGUUAAACAGUACGUGAAAUUGUUGAAAGGGAAACGCUUAAAGUCCAGUCACGUCGGUUAGGAAUCAACCUUGGUUGUUAAUUUUCCUUGGUGCACUUCCUAGUCGAUGGGUCAACAUGAGUUUUGACCAUUGGAUAAAAGCCUUAGGAAUGUGGCACUGUUUCGUGCGUUAUAGCCUUUGGUUGUAUACAGUGGUUGGGACUGAGGAACUCAGCACGCCUUUUGGCCGGGUACUCGUACCACGUUCGUGCUUAGGAUGUUGGCAUAAUGGCUUUAAUCGACCCGUCUUGAAACACGGACCAAGGAGUCUAACAUGCCUGCAAGUGUUUGGGUGUUGAAACCCUUGCGCGUAAUGAAAGUGAAAGUUGAGAACUCAUUAGAGUGCAUCGACGCCCGGAGCUGAUCUUUUGUGAAGCAUCCGCGGUAGAGCAUGUAUGUUGGGACCCGAAAGAUGGUGAACUAUGCCUGAAUAGGGUGAAGCCAGAGGAAACUCUGGUGGAG
rnacentral:rRNA from 1 species